GACGAACGCUGGCGGCGUGCCUAAUACAUGCAAGUAGAACGCUGAAGAGAGGAGCUUGCUCUUCUUGGAUGAGUUGCGAACGGGUGAGUAACGCGUAGGUAACCUGCCUUGUAGCGGGGGAUAACUAUUGGAAACGAUAGCUAAUACCGCAUAACAAUGGAUGACCCAUGUCAUUUAUUUGAAAGGGGCAAAAUGCUCCACUACAAGAUGGACCUGCGUUGUAUUAGCUAGUAGGUGAGGUAACGGCUCACCUAGGCGACGAUACAUAGCCGACCUGAGAGGGUGAUCGGCCACACUGGGACUGAGACACGGCCCAGACUCCUACGGGAGGCAGCAGUAGGGAAUCUUCGGCAAUAGGGGCAACCCUGACCGAGCAACGCCGCGUGAGUGAAGAAGGUUUUCGGAUCGUAAAGCUCUGCUGUAAGUCAAGAACGAGUGUGAGAGUGGAAAGUUCACACUGUGACGGUAGCUUACCAGAAAGGGACGGCUAACUACGUG
rnacentral:rRNA from 1 species